AUUGAACGCUGGCGGCAUGCCUUACACAUGCAAGUCGAACGGCAGCGGGGGAGAAGCUUGCUUUUCCUGCCGGCGAGUGGCGAACGGGUGAGUAAUACAUCGGAACGUGCCCUGUAGUGGGGGAUAACUAGUCGAAAGAUUAGCUAAUACCGCAUACGACCUGAGGGUGAAAGUGGGGGACCGCAAGGCCUCAUGCUAUAGGAGCGGCCGAUGUCUGAUUAGCUAGUUGGUGGGGUAAAGGCCUACCAAGGCGACGAUCAGUAGCUGGUCUGGGAGGCCGAUCAGCCACACUGGGACUGAGACACGGCCCAGACUCCACGGGAGGAAGCAGUGGGGAAUUUUGGACAAUGGGCGAAAGCCUGAUCCAGCAAUGCCGCGUGUGUGAAGAAGGCCUUCGGGUUGUAAAGCACUUUUGUCCGGAAAGAAAUGGCUCUGGUUAAUACCUGGGGUCGAUGACGGUACCGGAAGAAUAAGGACCGGCUAACUACGUGCCAGCAGCCGCCGUAA
rnacentral:rRNA from 1 species